rnacentral:lncRNA from 1 species
GUCAGCCCCAGGGUCCACACCACCCAUUUCCUCCAGGCCAUGCAGAAGGUCCUGGCUCCCUCCCGCUGCUCCCUGUUCAGACCCCACAGCUCCAGUCACCCUGAAGUGCCUGGGUCUCCUGCGCCCAGCCCCCUCGCCACUCUCCCUAGCCCCUGCUCUAUGCCUCCCCACAGUGUGGAGUUCCACCAGAGGGAGGGGGCCCUGUGCCUGGGCCCUGGAGAUGGGCUGUGCCCAGGAGCCGAGUUCCUCACAAAGUCCUGAUUUCAGGGUGAGCCGCUCCCAGACCCCCGUCUCAAGUCAGGCCUCUGUGUCUGAGCUGCUGUACGUCAGGGUCCCUUCCCUGUGCCGGGAUGGCUCCUAGAGAUCUCACCAGUUCCAGCAUAUUAGACACUCUGUCUCCAAUGCCUAGCACACAGCUUGGCUUCUAGUGGGUGCUGGGCCGGAGGAGGUGCCAUGGGGGCUGAUGGAGUCCCUGGACUUUCACACACACCAGACCCAAGGCCACUCAGGGGCACAUGAACCAUCACUCAGGCCAGGCGCUUUGAAAGUGGCACUGUUGAUGGCUACGGCAGGAGGGCUGGGUACAGUGUCACUAGUAACGUUUGUUUGCAAACAUGGAACUGCAGAAAUUUUAUAUUUAUGAGAACAUGGGUUGAAGAAAGAAGAGCUACCAUGAUCCUAACCAGAAUUACAGUAGUCAUAAUGGCAGCGGGGCAUCGAGGUGGAUUUUCCUGAAGUCUGACUGAGGCCCUGGGGCGGGCUCUCGGCCAGCAAAGUACAGAAAGCUUCCAGGCCAGGCUCAGAGGUUUGCUUUCCCACUCGCCUCCCCAGGCUGCCACCAGACACCCUUUACUCUAAUCCCCCUGAAACCUGGACUUUGCUUGAGUGCACAGGGACUCCCACCCUCAUCUCCAUUCAGACACAAUGGGAGGCCGUGUUUGGCUAGCAACUGCCCUGGCCCCACAGCCAGACCAGGCCAGGAGAGCCGCUGCUUCAAGUGCCACUUCAUCAAACCCAGAGUGUAAGGAAGCGAUUGAACCCCAAAUAGUGGCUUCAUCCCAGAACAGGAGGCUCCAGUCCACCCGAGUCUGCCUGACAGGGGGUUCCCCUGGCUUUAACUUUGCGGAAAAAGUGACCUGCGGUAACUUGGUGAGCAAUUAGCUUUCUCCCUGUUUCUGUGUACCCACCUGAUGAGCUCACCGUUCUGCCCCUGCCUCGCAGGGAAAAGCCAGUUAGACCUAUGACCAAGCCCCUUCGGACAUUCUUUUGUGUGUGUGUAUGUGGGGGGGGGCGGUGCCAGGGACACUGGACCACGGAGCCACAUCCUCCAGUUGCUCACUUUUUGCUGAGGCUGGCUUUGAACUCAGGAUUGCCUGCCUCACCCUCCCGAGCUGCUGAGAUUACAGGCAGGCACCACCCUGCCCAGCAGGACGUCCCUUGACACAGCAGUGUGGUGGGAACUGUCUUCUGGGCAGAGCGCCAUCCAGUGCCUGCUGGACGUGUGUCUCCUGAGCCCUCGAGAUGCCACUGGUGAGACUCAGGAACCCCACUGUACGUUGUCUGAUCUGGGUCAGUGCCGCAGUCUGGCUGGGCACGAAUAACCGAGCCGCCACAAAGCCCUGUAGGUUCUCAACAGGUCAGUUUAAAUGGCUUUGACAAAGCUGGACCUCCUCCUCUG